rnacentral:rRNA from 2 species
UGGUACGGCGGUCAUAGCGGGGGGGCCACACCCGAACCCAUCCCGAACUCGGAAGUUAAGCCCCCCAGCGAUGCCCCGAGUACUGCCAUCUGGCGGGAAAGGGGCGACACCGCCGGCCAC